CACUUUGUGGUUCAUGACUGGGGUGAAGUCGUAACAAGGUAGCCCUAGGGGAACCUGGGGCUGGAUCACCUCCUUA
rnacentral:rRNA from 1 species